UGGUGUGCCCGCAGUCCUCUAUUUUUGUACCUCUGGAAGGAGAGGGAGCAAAAGGCUCGCGGGUUUCCUUACCUACACCAAACAUGUGCUAGGGAUACUCACGGAACACGACAAGUGUGGCACCAUCUUUCAUUUGCUUACCGUCUUGAGAAGAUAAAGGCAAAAGAAAUGGUUGUGCAGUGAGGCCUCUGAGAAAUAAACCUAAGAGAGUAAAGGAAAAGAUUUUUCUUCCCAACAGCCAUAGAUGUUACUGCAAAAUAACUUAAUUUUGGAGUCAGUUUCAGUUAUCUGUGAUCAACCACAGUCUGGAAACAGAUGAUCCUCCUUCUGACAAAUGGUCAGCAGGUCAGUAGCAGCCUAACGCUACGUCACGCUGCCUGCAUCAUUCGCCCCACUUCAUCUCGUUUCAUGGGCAUUUUGUCAUCUCACAUCAUCACAAGAAGGGUGAGUACAAUACAAUGAGAUAUUCUGAGGGAGAGAGAGAGAGAGAGAAAGAGAGCAUAUUCACAUAAUGUUUAUUAUACCGUGUUGUUAUUUCUGUUCUAUUUUAUCAUUAGUUAUUAUUCUCCCACUGUGCCUAAUUCAUAAGUUAAACCUUAUCAUAGGCAUGUGUGCAUAGGAAAAAAACACAGUAUAUAGGGUUGGUACUAUCUGCAAUUUCAGGUAUCCACUGGGGUUCUUGGAACAUAUUCUCUACAGAUAAGGGGGGACUACUGUAUUUUCAUCUGUAUUUAAUAUUUUGUCCUUUUCAAUACACAUUAUUAUACUGUGCAUUGGAUUUUUACUUAGAAUUUCACUUAAAAUAUGAAGUUAUCAGAAAGUCCUAUAGUAAAAUUCUAUUGUAGUGAGGAAAUUUCAAAGUGUUUUAGAAAUACCUAUAUCCUUUUAAAAGAUAUUUCUGGAAGCAAGGAGGCAUGGGACACUCUGUAAAAGACAAAACUACAAGAACAUGAAACAUAUCAAUAAUCCUUUGCAAAGGCUAGGGAGGAGGGGAGAAUAUUGACCACAAAGUGGCACAAGAGUACUUUUGGGGAUGCGGCCAUAGUCUCUAUCCUGGACACAUGGCUGAAUAUGUUUGUCAAAACUCAUAUACAAAAGAAGGAAUUAAUUCUAUUGUAUCUAUGUUGUAGCUCAAUAAACCUGACACUUAUUUUGAAAACUGCUUCUUUUGAUCUGGGAGAUUCUGCAGAACAUGCAGCUGUGUAUAAUUCUGAUCCUGAAAAGUGACUUCCUAAACUUGGAUUCAUUUUUAUUUCAAGUGCUGGAAAUAUAACAUAAAAUUUCAGUAGAAGCACUGCCAUAGCUGCCACCAUCUUUGUAGCACCUGCUAUUUGCAUGUUGGGUUAGACAGUCUGUGGCACUUUCUUAUCAAACAGCUCCAACCUUCCUUGCACCACCGCCUUAAAGGCCACCUCUCCUCCACCUCUAUCUGCUCCUACUCAUUUCUCCUUGGGUGCUUAGGCUUCCCCUCACCCAGGAAAUGGGAACAAAAUGCCUAUUUGAUAUUUUUUUAUGUUAUUUUGAGUGAUACAAUUU